UGGGGAAUUUUGGACAAUGGGGGCAACCCUGAUCCAGCCAUCCCGCGUGUGCGAUGAAGGCCUUCGGGUUGUAAAGCACUUUUGGCAGGGAAGAAACAGCCUGGGCUAAUAUCCCGGGCGACUGACGGUACCUGCAGAAUAAGCACCGGCUAACUACGUGCCAGCAGCCGCGGUAAUACGUAGGGUGCAAGCGUUAAUCGGAAUUAUUGGGCGUAAAGGGCGCGUAGGCGGUGUCUUAAGUGGGAUGUGCAAUCCCCGGGCUUAACCUGGGAACUGCAUACCAGACUGGGACGCUGGAGUACUGGAGAGGGUGGUUGAAUUCCACGUGUGGCGGUGAAAUGCGUAGAGAUGUGGAGGAACACCAGUGGCGAAGGCGGCCACCUGGACAGUAACUGACGCUGAGGCGCGAAAGUGUGGGUAGCAAACA
rnacentral:rRNA from 1 species